GACGAACGCUGGCGGCGUGCUUAACACAUGCAAGUCGAACGGAAAGGCCCUGCUUUUGUGGGGUGCUCGAGUGGCGAACGGGUGAGUAACACGUGAGUAACCUGCCCUUGACUUUGGGAUAACUUCAGGAAACUGGGGCUAAUACCGGAUAGGAGCUCCUGCUGCAUGGUGGGGGUUGGAAAGUUUCGGCGGUUGGGGAUGGACUCGCGGCUUAUCAGCUUGUUGGUGGGGUAGUGGCUUACCAAGGCUUUGACGGGUAGCCGGCCUGAGAGGGUGACCGGGCCCAAUGGGACUGAGAUAAGGCCCAGACCCCUACGGGAGGGAGCAGUGGGGAAUAUUGCCCAAUGGGCGGAAGCCUGAUGCAGCAACGCCGGGGGCGGGAUGACGGCCUUCGGGGUGUAAACCGCUUUCGCCUGUGAAGAAGCGGGAGUGACGGUAAUGGGUAAAGAAGCCCCGGCUAACUACGUG
rnacentral:rRNA from 1 species